UAGACCAGAGGCUUCUAUUUCCACCA
rnacentral:piRNA from 1 species